AGCAGCCGCGGUAAUUCCAGCUCCAAUAGCGUAUAUUAAAGUUGUUGCAGUUAAAAAGCUCGUAGUUGAAUUUCGGGGUUAGUAGGCUGGUCGUGCCACAGGUAUGCACUGGUCUUACUGAUUCCUCCUUCCUGAUGAACCGUAAUGCCAUUAAUUUGGUGUUGCGGGGAGUCUGGACUGUUACUUUGAAAAAUUAGAGUGUUUAAAGCAGGCUAACGCUUGAAUACAUUAGCAUGGAAUAACGAAAUAGGACGUUCGAUCCUAUUUUGUUGGUUUCUAGGAUUGACGUAAUGAUUAAUAGGGAUAGUUGGGGCAUUAGCAUUCAAUUGUCAGAGGUGAAAUUCUUGGAUUUA
rnacentral:rRNA from 1 species